rnacentral:lncRNA from 1 species
GUAGUUCAACCUGGCAUGCUCAUUUUAUUUUUUCGACUACUUUUUCAGUCGCAUUUUUAUGCCCGCCUGAGCCUUUUAACCGAUCGAUUUUUAUUUUAAAAUUUGAUCAAAACCUGUAUGUUUCCGAGAAGUUUAUUUUGCGCUGAUCAUUUUUAUACGUUCACUUUAUUUUUUUGGACAUUUUUUAUGCCUGAUUUUUAUUCAUUUUUUAUCCGAUUAUUCUUUAUCUUUCGCCAAAAUAAUAUGAUGAAUUAUUUAGAAUUAUCUAUGUUGUCAAUUUGAUUUUAUUCAUAUUUGUUUUUUUUUAAAUUUAAAUAGUAAGAAUAAAA